rnacentral:rRNA from 1 species
GAUGAACGCUAGCGGCAGGCCUAACACAUGCAAGUCGAGGGGUAGCAGGAUUAAGCUUGCUUAAUUGCUGACGACCGGCGCACGGGUGCGUAACGCGUAUGCAACCUACCUUAUACUGGGGUAUAGCCCGGAGAAAUUCGGAUUAAUCCCCCAUAGUACUAAUGAAUCGCAUGGUUUAUUAGUUAAAGCAUUGCGGUAUAAGAUGGGCAUGCGUCCUAUUAGCUAGAUGGUGAGGUAACGGCUCACCAUGGCUACGAUAGGUAGGGGGCCUGAGAGGGUGGUACCCCACACUGGUACUGAGACACGGACCAGACUCCUACGGGAGGAAGCAGUGAGGAAUAUUGGUCAAUGGGCGCAAGCCUGAACCAGCCAUGCCGCGUGCAGGAAGAAUGCCCUAUGGGUUGUAAACUGCUUUUAUUUGGGAAUAAACCUCUUUACGUGUAGAGAGCUGAAGGUACCAAAUGAAUAAGCACCGGCUAACUCCGUGCCAGCCGCCGCGGUAA